rnacentral:rRNA from 1 species
UACGGAGGGUGCAAGCGUUAUCCGGAUUCACUGGGUUUAAAGGGUGCGUAGGUGGUUUUGUAAGUCAGUGGUGAAAGCCCGGAGCUCAACUCCGGAACUGCCAUUGAUACUGCUUAACUUGAAUCAACUUGACGUGGAUGGAAUAUUACAUGUAGCGGUGAAAUGCUUAGAUAUGUAAUAGAACACCGAUUGCGAAGGCAGUUCACUAAGGUUGUAUUGACACUGAGGCACGAAAGCGUGGGGAUCAAACAGG